GCCACCCAGAGGGUGUGCCAGUGUAGCUCAGGAAGAAUGAGGAGUUUCCUGCAUGAUGCUAACUCCUUCGUCAUGUAUAGAACCCACAAACCCUUAUUCUCUGCCCCGCUCCGACUCCUCCCGAUUCUAAAGACCUCAGCAGCUGCUGGCACACUUGUAAGAAGCUGUCCGGCCUGGAGGCCGCUAUCAGCAUGCACCUCGGAGUCUCCUCCACUCUGCACAAUCGGGGACCCAGACUUUGGUCGCUGUCAUCCCACAAUAACGCAAACACAUGAGACAAAGGAAGAAAAGGGUGGAUUUCCCCAUGCCUCCUGCCUGCUCUUUUCGUUUAAUGCAUUACCAUCUCACCAAAUGGGCUUAUUAUUAUUAUUAAUUAUUAUUAUUAUUAUUAUCAUCAUUAUUAUUUAAAUACUGGUAUUGAACAAAAAUGCUGUGAACACGGAGUUGCCUUUUACCACCACCCUGAGUGUCCGGUGUGGCUUCAGAUGUUGUUCCAGGACAAGACGCUGGUGUGAGACAGGGCCUGGGCGCUGAGUUCUUUUUCACGAGGCCCAGGCUGCUUGCAAACAAUGACCUCAUCCGGAAAGGCUCAGGAAAGAGGCAUUUUCCCCCUGGCCAGCAGUGCCCGGCGCGGGGUUGGAUUCCCUGCCUGCCACCCACAGUCCAAAGUUUCUCCCUGUUGUUUCUGAACACUGGAGCUUCUGCAAACUGGGAAUGCUGCAAAGGCCCCGCUUCAAUGGGGAAAGACACUCAGGACAAAACAUUUCCAGCAUCAGAGGCAGGUGUUGGCUAAGAGGUAGACGGAAACGGGCAUCCUUGUUUUAAGCGCGAUCAUUGCAUUCCUGCAAUGAAGACGGCUGCUAUGACAAAACACCCCAGAGUGGGCGGCCUCAACAACAGAAACCUAUUUUCUCACAGCUCAGGAGGCUACAAGUCCAAGAUCAAGGUGCCAGCCAUUGGGUGUCUGAGACCUCUCCCCGUGGCUAGCAGACAGCCACCUUCUGGCUGCGUCCUCUCAGCAUCAUCCCUCUGUCGGUGCAGGUGCCUGGUAUCUCUCUCUUCCUCCAUGUCCAAUUACUCUCUUCUGACAAGGACAGUCAUAUUAGAUUAGGACCUACCCUAAUCACCCCAUUUUAACUCAAUUACUUCUUUUAAGGCCCUAUCUCCAAAUACACUCCUGUUUAAGGUCCGAGGUGGGUAGGGCUUCCACAUAUGAAUUUUGGGAGGACAUAAUUCAGUCCAUAACAGAUGCUGGUGGGUCUUUUUACCCACAACCACCAAGUCCUGGGGCUGUGCUGAGGUCUCCUCACCCAGUCUGGGUUCAGUAAGAACAGGAAUUCACAAUAAUCUGAAUCUCUCGGACCCGAGACUCGGGGCAUGCUGGAGCGGGAGGGAGAGCACAGAGUUCCGGGUCAGGCCUUCCCUUUUCUGGUCGGUGGGGUCAGAGAGAAACAAUUCUUGGCCUCACUGGACACCCACACAGCCUAGCUUCUGCCCCGCCCCCACUCAUCACGAGCUCAGUAAGGUCACUUUGAGGUGGAUUUUUAAACCAUUUAAGUGGCACUCACAGAACCCUCUGAGUCAGAUAGGCACAGCCACUAAAAAGUACGAACUGGAAAGAGAGCUGGAAUCUGGCGGCCCCCAGGCCUCUGGUGUCCGGGCCCAUGCUCCUAACUGCGAGGUGACGGGUCCUGGGAGCUGGCACUGGCCCCGGACAGCUGUCCUGUGCAGCAGGCCAGCCAGGAGGUGAGCCAGCCCGGCCGGCCCCCUCACCCGGGGCCGUGGCACCAGCAAAUGUCAGCGAGUGGGAGGGGGAACCGCACAGG